rnacentral:rRNA from 1 species
AAACUCUUAGCGGUGGAUGUCUCGGCUCCCACAUCGAUGAAGAACGCAGCAAAAUGCGAAACGUAAUGUGAAUUGCAGAACUUGUGAAUCAUCGAAUCUUUGAACGCAAAUGGCGCUCGCGGGUAAUCCCACGAGCAUAUCUGUUUGAGUGUC